GUGCCAGCAGCCGCGGUAAUACGUAGGUGGCAAGCGUUAUCCGGAUUUACUGGGCGUAAAGAGUGCGUAGGCGGUUCUUCAAGUCGGAUGUGAAAUCUCCCGGCUUAACCGGGAGGGGUCAUUCGAAACUGUUGGACUAGAGGACAGCAGGGGGAGGUGGAAUUCCCGGUGUAGUGGUGAAAUGCGUAGAUAUCGGGAGGAACACCAGUGGCGAAGGCGGCCUCCUGGGCUGUUUCUGACGCUGAGGCUCGAAAGUGUGGGGAGCGAACAGGAUUAGAUACCCUGGUAGUCCACACUGUAAACAAUGGACACUAGGUAUGGGGAGUAUCGACCCUUUCUGUGCCGAAGCUAACGCUUUAAGUGUCCCGCCUGGGGACUACGGCCGCAAGGCUAAAACUUAAAUGAAUUGACGGGG
rnacentral:rRNA from 1 species